rnacentral:rRNA from 1 species
UGAGGAAUAUUGGUCAAUGGGCGGAAGCCUGAACCAGCCAAGUCGCGUGAGGGAAGACGGCCCUACGGGUUGUAAACCUCUUUUGCCGGGGAGCAAUGCCCAGCUCGCGAGCUGGGAAGGAGAGUACCCGGAGAAAAGCAUCGGCUAACUCCGUGCC